GAUGAACGCUGGCGGCGUGCCUAAUACAUGCAAGUCGAGCGAAUGAAGAGGAGCUUGCUCCUCUGAUUUAGCGGCGGACGGGUGAGUAACACGUGGGUAAUCUGCCUGUAAGACGGGGAUAACUCCGGGAAACCGGGGCUAAUACCGGAUAACAAGAGAGGAAGCAUUUCUUCUUUUUGAAAGUCGGUUUCGGCUGACGCUUACAGAUGAGCCCGCGGCGCAUUAGCUAGUUGGUGAGGUAACGGCUUACCAAGGCGACGAUGCGUAGCCGACCUGAGAGGGUGAUCGGCAACACUGGGACUGGGACACGGCCCAGACUCCUACGGGAGGCAGCAGUAGGGAAUCUUCGGCAAUGGGCGAAAGCCUGACCGAGCAACGCCGCGUGAGCGAUGAAGGCCUUCGGGUCGUAAAGCUCUGUUGUUAGAGAAGAACAAGUACGAGAGUAACUGCUCGUACCUUGACGGUACCUAACCAGAAAGCCACGGCUAACUACGUGCCAGCCGCCGCCGUAAAAC
rnacentral:rRNA from 1 species